rnacentral:rRNA from 13 species
ACCAGUACCGUGAGGGAAAGGUGAAAAGUACCCCGGAAGGGGAGUGAAAGAGAACUUGAAACCGUGUGCUUACAAGUAGUCAGAGCCCGUUAAUGGGUGAUGGCGUGCCUUUUGUAGAAUGAACCGGCGAGUUACGAUCUGAUGCAAGGUUAAGCAGCAAAUGUGGAGCCGCAGCGAAAGCGAGUCUGAAUAGGGCGUUUGAGUAUGUAGUCGUAGAC